CUAAUUGGGACUCCGAGCCGGGGCUAUUUCUGGCUCUGGCGCCGCUCCAAGAAGGCAUCCGCAUUUGCUACCAGCGGCGGCCGCGGCGGAGCCAGGCCGGUCCUCAGCGCCCAGCACCGCCGCUCCCGGCAACCCGGAGCGCGCACCGCAGGCCGGCGGCCGAGCUCGCGCAUCCCAGCCAUCACUCUUCCACCUGCUCCUUAGAGAAGGGAAGAUGAGUGAAUCGAGCUCGAAGUCCAGCCAGCCCUUGGCCUCCAAGCAGGAAAAGGACGGCACUGAGAAGCGGGGCCGGGGCAGGCCACGCAAGCAGCCUCCGGUGAGUCCCGGGACAGCGCUGGUAGGGAGUCAGAAGGAACCCAGCGAAGUGCCAACACCUAAGAGACCUCGGGGCCGACCAAAGGGAAGCAAAAACAAGGGCGCUGCUAAGACCCUGGAGAAGGAGGAAGAGGAGGGCAUCUCGCAGGAGUCCUCGGAGGAGGAGCAGUGACCGUGCGUGCCGCCUGCUCCUCACUGGAGGAGCAGCUUCCUUCUGGGACUGGACAGCUUUGCUCCGCUCCCACCGCCCCCGCCCUUUCCCCAGGCCCACCAUCACCACCGCCUCCGGCCGCCACCCCCAUCUUCCACCUGUGCCCUCACCACCACACUACACAGCACACCAGCCGCUGCAGGGCCCCCAUGGGCUGAGUGGGGAGCAGUUUUCCCCUGGCCUCAGUUCCCAGCUCCCCCGCCCACCCGUGCAUACACACAUGCCCUCAUGGACAAGGCUAACAUCCCACUUAGCCGCACCCUGCACCUGCUGCUUCCCCACUUCCUUGGUGAUGGGGACAUUGCUCUCUGGGCUUUUGGUUUGGGGGUGCCCUCUCUGCUCCUCUACUGUUCCCUCGGGCUUCCCAUAGUGGGGCCUGGGAGGGUUCCCCUGGCCUUAAAAGGGGCCCAAGCCCCAUCUCAUCCUGGCACGCCCUACUCCACUGCCCUGGCAGCAGCAGGUGUGGCCAAUGGAGGGGGGUGCUGGUCCCCAGAAUUUCCCCAGCCAAACUCUG